AAAAUUUACUAGUGUUUUUCAUAUCUGAUUAUUCUCUCCUUCCAGACCUCCUUGCAGUUAGGCAGGGUCAUAUGACUAGUUCUAGCCAGUGAGAUGCAAGUGAAAUCCAUGCAUUUUAUUUCCAGUUGAAGCUUUUAAGAACAAGUAAGUCACUUCCAUAAUCUCUAUUCCUCUCUGACAGUGACAUGGAAGCAGUUUAUUGAAAUGGCAGAACUCAACAAAUAACGCAGAGUGACUACUCUGGAAAGACAGUUGACUGACAUCAGACUUGUGCAUAGUAAAAUCUUCACCACCCAUCCCCCACUCCUGGCUUUCCAUCUAUAUGUGAAAAUCUCUCUGCAUCAGCCAAUAACAAGAAACAGCCUCCAGCUGGAUCUGGUUGAGCCAGACUAAAUUGCAUUUGAUUCAUUGACUUUGCUGCAAUUGGUCUGUAUAACAGUAUGGCAGAGAUCCAGCAUUGCAAUCCUUUUGUUCAUGGCAUUAAAAUGGUAUGUAGUAAGUUAGACUGAGUCUUUUGGAAUCAUUUUUAUUUGCUCAUAUAAAAAUUAUAAGACUUUGAAAUCUUACAA
rnacentral:lncRNA from 1 species